UAGAUAGAUCAGCCGAAUUUCGUAACGAAAAUGGGGGAACCAUUUAAUUGGGGUGAAUUUCUUUGCUGUAUAGCAGGGAAUAGGGCGACCUGUGAUAUGCCCGAAUCCGUCAGCUAACCUCGUAGGCUGCAGCACAGGAACC
rnacentral:sRNA from 2 species